rnacentral:rRNA from 1 species
GCGCGAACACUGUGCAAUGCGCGAAAGCGCGACACGGGGAGCUUGAGUGUCUUGGCAUAGCCAAGACUUUUCUCAUUCCUAAAAAGCAUGAGGAAUAAGUGCUGGGUAAGACGGGUGCCAGCCGCCGCGGUAACACCCGCAGCACGAGUAGUGGUCACUUUUAUUGAGCCUAAAGCGUUCGUAGCCGGUUUUGUAAAUCUUCAGAUAAAGCCUGAAGCUUAACUCCAGAAAGUCUGAAGAGACUGCAAGACUUGAGAUCGGGUGAGGUUAAACGUACUUUCAGGGUAGGGGUAAAAUCCUGUAAUCCCGGAAGGACGACCAGUGG